AGUACGUACUUAGCAUAAUAUUAUGUACAAUAUACAGCGUGAUAUAUUCUUUGAUUGAACGCAAACAUCACAAUAUUAUUAUCUACCAAUAAACAUGUAAUUAUAUGGUUAUUGGUUACACUCAUUAAUUUGCGGUAUUAUACAUUCGUGUAGCGUUGCUUGCAGCCAUCGUGCAGACAUGCAGUGUUCAAAAACUAUUAGAUGGUGUUUCGUGCUUAUAGCUGUUCUGUUCAUUUUAACAUUUGUUGUUUGUUUAAAAUUUUCCGACCAUUUUGAGUUUACCCUUUAAUCCGUUUUAACAUCAAAAACUAGCGUACAAAUUCGACGGAAAGACUAAAAUAUUUUUCUCGGCCGAACGUACCAACAUGUCAUGUAUAGAUAUAAUAACUGCAUUUAGUAUAAUUAUGAAUACAUUUCUGAGAUAAUAAUACGUACCCACCAUAUAUCGUACGCAAACGGAUUGACGAUGGAAAUUUCAUUUUAAACAUAUAGUACGUUUAUGCAUGAUCACGUAAAACGACUAAGGUGUGCAGACAGCAUAUUAUAAUAUAUAAUACAGUUGAAUAUACACACAUCAGUACAUCAUCAUCGCAUGAUGGUUAUCACUUGCGACCGAGUUGAAAAACUGCAGAAAUUUAUGCCGUGGCCAUAAAUGGUGUCGUCGAUGACGGGAUCGAAGGUGAUGAGUAAUGAUAACCUUUAUAUUUCCAGCGUGACCUGUGGAUCCGCAGUAUUCAACAUUUAUGCAUCGCCAAAUUUGAUCACGAUAGCCGAACAACCAUCAAAAUAUCAAUAAUAGUGUAUAAUAAACAGUUAUAAUUGGUACAAUUAGAAACGGAUCAAUGAGCUAUGAGGGUUUUAGAUUCUAUUAUUAUAAUAAAUAUGUAUUAAUGUAUUAUUAAUUUAUAUUAACCUAUUUUUGAACAUUAAAA